rnacentral:rRNA from 1 species
GGCCAGACUCCUACGGGAGGCAGCAGUGGGGAAUAUUGCACAAUGGGGGGAACCCUGAUGCAGCGACGCCGCGUGGGUGAAGGAGUAUUUCGGUAUGUAAAGCCCUCUCAGCAGGGAAGAACAAUGACGGUACCUGACUAAGAAGCACCGGCUAAAUACGUGCCAGCAGCCGCGGUAAUACGUAUGGUGCAAGCGUUAUCCGGAUUUACUGGGUGUAAAGGGGGCGCAGACGGCAGCGCAAGCCAGGAGUGAAAGCCCGGGGCCCAACCCCGGGACUGCUCUUGGAACUGCGCGGCUGGAGUGCAGGAGGGGCAGGCGGAAUUCCUGGUGUAGCGGUGAAAUGCGUAGAUAUCAGGAGGAACACCGGUGGCGAAGGCGGCCUGCUGGACUGCGACUGACGUUGAGGCCCGAAAGCGUGGGGAGCAAACAGGAUUAGAUACCCGGGUA